CUAGGCUAAAGUACAUCUGUAUUACUCAUCCAACCAACUGAAAACAGGUUUUCCUCCACUAGGAGAAUGACCUGUUUCAAUUGAAACACACCCUGUGUGCUGGGACGUCAAUUAAGCAAUUCAAGGACAAACAAAAACGGAUGUAUAUGGGAAAUAUAUUGUAGAACUUGUCUCUUAUUUAUUACAGUGAUGUUGCAGAUUAUAAUUAUGCACUUAGGAAAAGACUGAAGGAAGCCAUGCACUUUUCAGUAACGCUGUCAUGAGUCCAAAAGAUUCCUGCAGUAUUUAUUUGUAUUUCAUCACACCCUAACAACACUUUAGAUGUUCUUGUGAUCUAUAGCUUUAGAAAAGGACCAUUCCAACCAAAGGAGAAGACGUAAAUAUAAGAGCAUAUUGUUGAGUUUUUGUGUGUUUAUUGACAUGUUACUCUGCUAAAUGUAUGAUACAUACACCUCUAAAUGUUUCAUUCAGAUUAGCUAGGUGAACUUUUUAUAUAUUAGGUAGGUACACUUUUUAUAUGACGUAAAUAAACGUUUUAUAUUGUG